rnacentral:rRNA from 1 species
UGGGGAAUAUUGGACAAUGGGCGAAAGCCUGAUCCAGCCAUGCCGCGUGAGUGAUGAAGGCCCUAGGGUUGUAAAGCUCUUUUGUGCGGGAAGAUAAUGACGGUACCGCAAGAAUAAGCCCCGGCUAACUUCGUGCCAGCAGCCGCGGUAAUACGAAGGGGGCUAGCGUUGCUCGGAAUCACUGGGCGUAAAGGGUGCGUAGGCGGGUUUCUAAGUCAGAGGUGAAAGCCUGAAGCUCAACUCCAGAACUGCCUUUGAUACUGGAAGUCUUGAGUUCGGGAGAGGUGAGUGGAACUGCGGGUGUAGAGGUGAAAUUCGUAGAUAUUCGCAAGAACACCAGUGGCGAAGGCGGCUCACUGGCCCGAUACUGACGCUGAGGCACGAAAGCGUGGGGAGCAAACA